rnacentral:rRNA from 1 species
UCGUGUUGUGAAAUGUUGGGUUAAGUCCCGCAACGAGCGCAACCCUUAUCCUUGUUGCCAGCGGUCCGGCCGGGAACUCAAAGGAGACUGCCAGUGAUAAACUGGAGGAAGGUGGGGAUGACGUCAAGUCAUCAUGGCCCUUACGACCAGGGCUACACACGUGCUACAAUGGCGCAUACAAAGAGAAGCGACCUCGCGAGAGCAAGCGGACCUCAUAAAGUGCGUCGUAGUCCGGAUUGGAGUCUGCAACUCGACUCCAUGAAGUCGGAAUCGCUAGUAAUCGUGGAUCAGAAUGCCACGGUGAAUACGUUCCCGGGCCUU